GGGUCACAGGCACCUACAUUUCCGUUUCCGGGUCGCCUCGGGAGCCAUGGCGACCGCGUUGGAACUGAAGUAUCUGCUGACAUUAGGCAGAUGGCGCCGCGGCCUUGGAGUACUUCCCCAGUCUCGCGCUCUCGCCGCCCUCGUGCCCGGCGUAUCCCAGGUGGAUAACAAGUCCGAUUUUCUGGGGAAGAGGCCCCAUCGCCGGCACCCUGGCAUCCUGCAGCUGCCGCGCGUGCGGCUGCCGCAAGCCCUGGCUGACGCCGCGCAGUUACUGCUGCUCGAGAGGUCUAUGCCCAAUGUGGAGAAGCAGGUGCAAGCACUGACCAAUUAUCUCUGGAGCCGGCAUUUACCUAUAGAGCCAGAGGAGUUGCAAAGACGGGCUGUACAUCUUGAGAAAAAAUUCUUGGAAAACCCAGACUCAUCUCAGACAGAGGAGAAACUUUGUGGAGCAGUGCUGCAUGCCCUGCGCAGAACUACCUACCACUGGCGAGAACUGAGCUACAAUGAGGGACUGAGCCUGGUGUACAUGGCAGCAAGACUGGAUGGUGGCUUUGCAGCAGUCUCCAGGGCAUUCCAUGAGAUCCGGGCUCGAAUUCCAGAGUUCCAACCACAAACCUUGAUGGACUUUGGUUCGGGUACUGGUUCUGUCACCUGGGCUGCUCAUAGUACUUGGGGCCAGAGCCUACGUGAAUAUAUGUGUGUGGACAGCUCAGCUGCCAUGUUGGAUUUGGCAGAAAAGCUACUGAAAGGUGGUUCUGAAUCUGGGGAGCCUUAUGUUCCAGGUGUCUUUUUCAGACAGUUUCUACCUGUAUCACCCAAGGUACAAUUCGAUGUGGUGGUCUCAGCCUUUUCCCUAAGUGAACUACCCAGCAAGGCUGACCGCACGGAGGUAGUCCAAACCUUAUGGCGCAAGACAAGUCAUUUUCUGAUACUGGUGGAGAAUGGAACAAAAGCUGGGCACUGCCUUCUCAUGGAUGCUCGGGACCUGGUCCUUAAGGGGAGAGAGAAGUCUCCUUUGGACCCUCGACCUGGUUUUGUCUUUGCCCCCUGUCCUCAUGAACUUCCUUGUCCUCAGUUGACAGCAUCUAAGCCCCUGGCCUGUAGCUUUUCCCAGGCUUACCAUCCCAUCCCCUUCAGCUGGUCUCUAUAUCCUUAUCUUAGAACAAGAAGCCAAAGGAGGAAAAGUUCUCAAUGGUAAUCCUUGCCCGAGGGUCUGCAGAGGAGGCUAAUCGCUGGCCCCGUAUCACUCAGCCUGUCCUUAAACGGCCACGCCAUGUGCAUUGUCACCUGUGCUGUCCAGAUGGGCAUAUGCAGCAUGCUGUGAUCACAGGCCGCCGGCAUGGCAGGGAUUUGUAUCGCUGUGCCCGUGUCAGCUCCUGGGGAGAUCUUUUACCUGUGACCACGCCGCCUGAGCUUCCUCCGUCCCCUGCUAAAGAUCCCCCUGAAAGCUGACAAGGAUAUGUAACAAAAAUUUUCUUCUGUCAGGCCUGCCAAGGCUAAAGCUACCUGGUAUCCAGGAUGGAAGGGCUGAUACUCCUAUACAUCUGUGUGUGUUUGAGGUUUUAAUAAAAAUAAAAAGUUUUCAAAGAAUGGAAA